UAUUUGAGCAAGAAUUGCUAUUGUGGC
rnacentral:piRNA from 1 species